rnacentral:rRNA from 1 species
CGGGAGGCAGCAGUGGGGAAUUUUCCGCAAUGGGCGAAAGCCUGACGGAGCAAUACCGCGUGAGGGAAGACUGCCUAUGGGUUGUAAACCUCUUUUUUCAGGGAGGAAUCAAUGACGUGUACCUGAAGAAUAAGCAUCGGCUAACUCCGUGCCAGCAGCCGCGGUAAGACGGAGGAUGCAAGUGUUAUCCGGAAUCACUGGGCGUAAAGCGUCUGUAGGUGGUUUAAUAAGUCAACUGUUAAAUCUUGAGGCUCAACUUCAAAAUCGCAGUCGAAACUAUUAGACUAGAGUAUAGUAGAGGUAAAGGGAAUUUCCAGUGGAGCGGUGAAAUGCGUAGAUAUUGGAAAGAACACCGAUGGCGAAAGCACUUUACUGGGCUAUUACUAACACUCAGAGACGAAAGCUAGGGUAGCAAAUGGGAUUAGAUACCCCAGUAGUCCUAGCCGUAAACAAUGGAUACUAGAUGUUGAACAGAUCGACCUGUGCAGUAUCAAAGCUAACGCGUUAAGUAUCCCGCCUGGGAAGUAUGCUCGCAAGAGUGAAACUCAAAGGAAUUGACGG